rnacentral:tRNA from 1 species
GGCUCGUUGGUCUAGGGGUAUGAUUCUCACUUUGAAUGCGAGAGGUCCCGGGUUCAAAUCCUGGACGAGCCC